AYMARGGGAUUCCCCCUAGUAACGGCGAGUGAACCGGGAAGAGCUCAAAUUUGAAAUCUGGCGUCCUCAGGGCGUCCGAGUUGUAAUCUAUAGAGGCGUUUUCCGUGCCGGACCGUGUCCAAGUUCCUUGGAACAGGAUAUCAAAGAGGGUGACAAUCCCGUACUUGACACGACGACCGGUGCUCUGUGAUACGUCUUCUACGAGUCGAGUUGUUUGGGAAUGCAGCUCAAAAUGGGUGGUGAGUUCCAUCUAAAGCUAAAUAUUGGCGAGAGACCGAUAGCGAACAAGUACCGUGAGGGAAAGAUGAAAAGCACUUUGGAAAGAGAGUUAAACAGUACGUGAAAUUGUUGAAAGGGAAACGAUUGAAGUCAGUCGUGACCGAGAGGCUCAGCCGGUUCUGCCGGUGUAUUCCCCUCGGUCGGGUCAACAUCAGUUUUGUCCGGUGGAUAAGGGCGGUAGGAAGGUGGCACCCUCGGGUGUGUUAUAGCCUGCCGUCGCAUACAUCGGGUGAGACUGAGGAACGCAGCUCGCCUUUAUGGCCGGGGUUCGCCCACGUCCGAGCUUAGGAUGUUGACAUAAUGGCUUUAAACGACCCGUCUUGAAACACGGGACCCAAAAA
rnacentral:rRNA from 1 species